rnacentral:rRNA from 1 species
GACAGAGGUGGCAAGCGUUGUCCGGAUUUACUGGGCGUAAAGAGCGCGCAGGCGGUCGUCCAAGUCGCGUGUGAAAGCCCCCGGCUCAACUGGGGAGGGUCACGCGAUACUGGUCGACUCGAAGGCAGGAGAGGGUAGUGGAAUUCCCGGUGUAGUGGUGAAAUGCGUAGGUAUCGGGAGGAACACCAGUGGCGAAGGCGACUACCUGGCCUGUUCUUGACGCUGAGGCGCGAAAGCUAGGGGAGCAAACGGG